GACGAACGCUGGCGGCGUGCUUAACACAUGCAAGUCGAACGGAAAGGCCCUGCUUUUGUGGGGUGCCCGAGUGGCGAACGGGUGAGUAACACGUGAGUAACCUGCCCUUGACUUUGGGAUAACUUCAGGAAACUGGGGCUAAUACCGGAUAGGAGCUCCUGCUGCAUGGUGGGGGUUGGAAAGUUUCGGCGGUUGGGGAUGGACUCGCGGCUUAUCAGCUUGUUGGUGGGGUAGUGGCUUACCAAGGCUUUGACGGGUAGCCGGCCUGAGAGGGUGACCGGCAACAUUGGGACUGAGAUACGGCCCAGACUCCUACGGGAGGCAGCAGUGGGGAAUAUUGCACAAUGGGCGGAAGCCUGAUGCAGCAACGCCGCGUGCGGGAUGACGGCCUUCGGGUUGUAAACCGCUUUCGCCUGUGACGAAGCGUGAGUGACGGUAAUGGGUAAAGAAGCACCGGCUAACUACGUG
rnacentral:rRNA from 1 species